UACGUAGGGACCAAGCGUUGUUCGGAUUUACUGGGCGUAAAGGGCGCGUAGGCGGCGUGUUAAGUCACUUGUGAAAUCUCUGAGCUUAACUCAGAACGGUCAAGUGAUACUGAUGUGCUAGAGUGCAGAAGGGGCAACCGGAAUUCUCGGUGUAGCGGUGAAAUGCGUAGAUAUCAAGAGGAACACCUGAGGUGAAGACGGGUUGCUGGGCUGACACUGACGCUGAGGCGCGAAAGCUAGGGUAGCAAACGGG
rnacentral:rRNA from 1 species